rnacentral:rRNA from 1 species
GACGUAGGGCGCGAGCGUUGUCCGGAUUUACUGGGCGUAAAGAGCGCGCAGGCGGUCGUUCAAGUCGCGUGUGAAAGCCCCCGGCUCAACUGGGGAGGGUCACGCGAUACUGAUCGACUCGAAGGCAGGAGAGGGAAGUGGAAUUCCCGGUGUAGUGGUGAAAUGCGUAGAUAUCGGGAGGAACACCAGUGGCAGAAGGCGACUUCCUGGCCUGUUCUUGACGCUGAGGCGCGAAAGCUAGGGGAGCAAACGGG